CAAUAGCGUAUAUUUAAGUUGUUGCAGUUAAUAAGCUCGUAGUUGGAUUUCGGGUGUGAACGACCGGUCCGUCUUUGAUGUGUACUGGUUGGUUGCGCCUUAUUGUCGAGGACGUGGUUCUAGCUUUCAUUAGCCGGGACACGGAGUCGGCAGCGUUACUUUGAGAAAAUUAGAGUGUUCAAAGCAGGCUAUCGCUCUGAAUACUACAGCAUGGAAUAACACGAUAGGACUCCGAGCCUAUUCUGUUGGUCUUCGGGACCGGAGUAAUGAUUAAGAGGGACAGUCGGGGGCAUUCGUAUUCCGAUGUCAGAGGUGAAAUUCUUGGAUUAUCGGAAGACGAACAUCUGCGAAAGCAUUUGCCAAGGAUGUUUUCAUUAA
rnacentral:rRNA from 1 species